UACGUAGGGUGCAAGCGUUAAUCGGAAUUACUGGGCGUAAAGCGUGCGCAGGCGGUUAUAUAAGACAGAUGUGAAAUCCCCGGGCUCAACCUGGGGAACUGCAUUUGUGACUGUAUAGCUAGAGUACGGUAGAGGGGGAUGGAAUUCCGCGUGUAGCAGUGAAAUGCGUAGAUAUGCGGAGGAACACCGAUGGCGAAGGCAAUCCCCUGGACCUGUACUGACGCUCAUGCACGAAAGCGUGGGGAGCAAACAGG
rnacentral:rRNA from 1 species